rnacentral:rRNA from 1 species
UACGAAGGGGGGCUAGCGUUGCUCGGAAUUACUGGGCGUAAAGGGCGCGUAGGCGGAUGUUUAAGUCGGGGGUGAAAGCCCGGGGCUCAACCUCGGAAUUGCCUUCGAUACUGGACAUCUUGAGUACGGGAGAGGUGAGUGGAACUCCGAGUGUAGAGGUGAAAUUCGUAGAUAUUCGGAAGAACACCAGUGGCGAAGGCGACUCACUGGCCCGGUACUGACGCUGAGGUGCGAAAGCGUGGGGAGCAAACAGG